rnacentral:rRNA from 1 species
UAAUGGCGAAUGAACCGGGAUAAACUCAGCAUGGAAAUUGGGGCCUUUGGCUUUGACUUGUAAUCUGGUGAGGCAUUGCCAACAGAGGCGCAUAUGUAAGUCUCUUGGAAAAGAGCAUCAACGAAGGUGAGAGUCCUGAUUGUCAUGUGCAGCCCCCCUGUGCACGGUGUGCCUUCUAAGAGUCACGUUCCUUGGGAUUGGAGCGCAAAUUGGGUGGUAACUUUCAUCUGAAGUUAAACAAUGGUUUGGGACCGAUAGGAAACAAGUACCAUGAGGGAAAGGUGAAAAGGACUUUGGAAAGAGAGUUAAAAGUGCCUGAAAUUGCUGAAGGGGAAGCGAAUGGAACCAGUAGUGCUGGGUGAGAUUGUCACAUGCUACAAGGAUUGGUUGCUGCCACAACGCAAGUGUGAUGGCAAUUUGUGAAUUGCUAGUGUGUGGUGUGUCUUACCUAGUGGGUCAUUGUGGGUUUAUGCAUUAAGAUAAGUCAAAGCAAGCGGGAGCAAGUUUACGAGUUUGUGAAUGUGUGUUGUUAUGCUUGUGCGUAAGCUUUAGUGUUUGUCUGGCUGCAGGGCUGUCCAUCCUCGAGCUGAGGGUUGCGAUGAGCAUAACCUCGCACAGAUCUUGACGAAAGGUGUUCUUC